rnacentral:rRNA from 1 species
UACGGAGGGGGCUAGCGUUGUUCGGAAUUACUGGGCGUAAAGCGCGCGUAGGCGGACCUGCAAGUCGGGGGUGAAAGCCCGAGGCUCAACCUCGGAACUGCCUUCGAUACUGCGGGUCUCGAGUCCGGGAGAGGUGAGUGGAAUUCCUAGUGUAGAGGUGAAAUUCGUAGAUAUUAGGAAGAACACCAGUGGCGAAAGCGGCGCACUGGACCACA